UGAACGCUGGCGGCGUGCCUAAUACAUGCAAGUCGAGCGAACAGAUGAGGAGCUUGCUCCUCUGACGUUAGCGGCGGACGGGUGAGUAACACGUGGAUAACCUACCUAUAAGACUGGGAUAACUUCGGGAAACCGGAGCUAAUACCGGAUAAUAUAUUGAACCGCAUGGUUCAAUAGUGAAAGACGGUUUUGCUGUCACUUGUAGAUGGAUCCGCGCCGCAUUAGCUAGUUGGUAAGGUAAAGGCUUACCAAGGCAACGAUGCGUAGCCGACCUGAGAGGGUGAUCGGCCACACUGGAACUGAGACACGGUCCAGACUCCUACGGGAGGCAGCAGUAGGGAAUCUUCCGCAAUGGGCGAAAGCCUGACGGAGCAACGCCGCGUGAGUGAUGAAGGUCUUCGGAUCGUAAAACUCUGUUAUUAGGGAAGAACAAAUGUGUAAGUAACUAUGCACGUCUUGACGGUACCUAAUCAGAAAGCCACGGCUAACUACGUG
rnacentral:rRNA from 1 species